AUCGAACGCUGGCGGCAUGCCUUACACAUGCAAGUCGAACGGUAACAGGUCUUCGGAUGCUGACGAGUGGCGCACGGGUGAGUAAUACAUCGGAACGUGCCCGAUCGUGGGGGAUAACGAGGCGAAAGCUUUGCUAAUACCGCAUACGAUCUACGGAUGAAAGCGGGUGAUCUUCGGACCUCGCGCGGACGGAGCGGCCGAUGGCAGAUUAGGUAGUUGGUGGGAUAAAAGCUUACCAAGCCGACGAUCUGUAGCUGGUCUGAGAGGAUGAUCAGCCACACUGGGACUGAGACACGGCCCAAACUCCUACGGGAGGCAGCAGUGGGGAAUUUUGGACAAUGGGCGAAAGCCUGAUCCAGCCAUGCCGCGUGCAGGAUGAAGGCCUUCGGGUUGUAAACUGCUUUUGUACGGAACGAAAAGCCUCUUUCUAAUAAAGAGAGGUCAUGACGGUACCGUAAGAAUAAGCACCGGCUAACUACGUG
rnacentral:rRNA from 1 species